rnacentral:rRNA from 1 species
UACGUAGGGUGCAAGCGUUGUCCGGAAUUAUUGGGCGUAAAGCGCGUGUAGGCGGUUCGUUAAGUCUGCUGUAAAAGCCGGGAGCUCAACUCUCGAAAGCCGGUGGAUACUGUCGGACUAGAGUACGGAAGAGGCGAGUGGAAUUCCUGGUGUAGCGGUGAAAUGCGCAGAUAUCAGGAGGAACACCAAUUGCGAAGGCAGCUCGCUGGGACGUUACUGACGCUGAGACGCGAAAGCGUGGGGAGCGAACAGG